rnacentral:tRNA from 1 species
AGGAUAGUUCAAUUGGUAGAACCUUGGUCUCCAAAGCCAUAUGUUGGGGGUUCGAGUCCCUCUUCUC